rnacentral:rRNA from 1 species
UGGGGAAUAUUGCACAAUGGGCGCAAGCCUGAUGCAGCCAUGCCGCGUGUAUGAAGAAGGCCUUCGGGUUGUAAAGUACUUUCAGCGGGGAGGAAGGGAGUAAAGUUAAUACCUUUGCUCAUUGACGUUACCCGCAGAAGAAGCACCGGCUAACUCCGUGCCAGCAGCCGCGGUAAUACGGAGGGUGCAAGCGUUAAUCGGAAUUACUGGGCGUAAAGCGCACGCAGGCGGUUUGUUAAGUCAGAUGUGAAAUCCCCGGGCUCAACCUGGGAACGGCAUCUGAUACUGGCAAGCUUGAGUCUCGUAGAGGGGGGUAGAAUUCCAGGUGUAGCGGUGAAAUGCGUAGAGAUCUGGAGGAAUACCGGUGGCGAAGGCGGCCCCUGGACGAAGACUGACGCUCAGGUGCGAAAGCGUGGGGAGCAAACAGG